AUAAACAGUGGUUUAUUAAUCAUACACAUUCUCACACACAGAUUGGGCCAUUACAUAGACAGAAGUGCUUUCAGGUCAUUUACACACUGACUGCUUCAAAAUGAGUGGAAAGGAGACUGCUUAAAAGGGGCCAUAUAUAAAUAUAUAAAUAAACACAAACAUAAAUUACCAGAAGACAUCUGCAUUUAAUGUUUUAGGUUAAGCUUUCAACGUUUUUGUUAAAACAGUGCCUGAAAUAUUCCUCACAAAAACGUUCUCGCCGGUCCGUCUAUCAGUUUGCAGUGACUUGUGGUCUCCUCAUAGUCCCUGGAGAUCACAGCAGUACAAUCUGCCUGGACUAGCGAAUUCUCUUACGGUCUAAUUCGGCAGGGAAUAUGAGGAGGCGAAUACUCUUACGGUCUAAUUCUGCAGGGAAUAUGAAGGGCCGACCAGUCGUGUUAUUGUUUAAAUUCAGUCUUUUAGACACUAGAGGAAGGACUCCACACAGUCCCUUUAGUCCACUUGAAAGUGACCCGUGCUCAUGUGGAUUGGAACCCAUGUCAUCAGUACAGCUGGGUGCAUCCAUGUCUUCAGGCACUUUGUUCAUUGUUAUGUUAUGCUACUUCUAAAUGAACGGGCUUUGAAGGGCUGUCCAAUGUCAACAAUAAAAGAAAUGUUUAGUUCACACUGGCUAUGGUGUCUGCUCCAUCAUCACAAAUGAAAUGAAAUUGGGGAACGAACAAUGGAACUGAUAAAGAAUGCUCAGAUUCAUACUUUGUCUUCCAAACCUCCCAGAUGUCAAAGACGUGGGACUUAUCUCAAUUUCAUAGUCCUCGCAUUACAUCCGCUCUCCUCCCUUCUGAAUUUCUCAUCCAGUGGGUUUUGAGGCAGUAGACGAGAGAAGUUUAUGAAAUUGCAUGAAGGUUAACUUCUUUGAGCCACACAAAAACAAGGAAAUGGUCGGUGGUUGUAUUUUACAAAGUAUGGAUUUGAGCAGGCAAACUAACAAACUAACAAGUAAGCAAAUGUUAUGUAGUACAACUGACAUUAAAGUAGCCUACUUUUGGGGCAUCACAGUGGACAUCUGCAUGGUUUCUUCAUGGUUGCUGGCAGAUAUUUGGCUAGCAAAUAUUUAGCAUUGAAAGGAAGAGCAGGAUGAGAACCUCAUUUAGGUGAACGGAGCCACAUGAGCUCACAAAAAAAAGAGCCAACACUACUAGUUAUCAGACAUCAUCUUAUCUGAUGUAACACAAUGAGACAUAUUGUAUCGAUUUCAGUCAAAUAAAAUUAUAAACACUGCAUGUGGACAUCAAAUGGGAGAACGGAGAACAGUAAUUCAAUGUACUGACUGCAGGGGAAAAACAGCGUUAGAUGAACAACAACAACCUGAAUAACCGGGCAAACCCUUUGAGGUCAACAUGGAACAUGCCAAGCAAGAACAACUAUUCCCAAACACCAAGAACGGAUCCCGGUGAUGCAAUGUUGACCUCUUCAGUCCAGAGUGAAAUCUG
ensembl:lncRNA